rnacentral:rRNA from 1 species
GACGAACGCUGGCGGCGUGCUUAACACAUGCAAGUCGAACGGAAAGGCCCUGCUUUUGUGGGGUGCUCGAGUGGCGAACGGGUGAGUAACACGUGAGUAACCUGCCCUUGACUUUGGGAUAACUUCAGGAAACUGGGGCUAAUACCGGAUAGGAGCUCCUGCUGCAUGGUGGGGGUUGGAAAGUUUCGGCGGUUGGGUAUGGACUCGCGGCUUAUCAGCUUGUUGGUGGGGUAGUGGCUUACCAAGGCUUUGACGGGUAGCCGGCCUGAGAGGGUGACCGGACACAUUGGGACUGAGAUACGGACCAGACUCCUACGGGAGGCAGCAGUGGGGAAUAUUGCACAAUGGGCGGAAGCCUGAUGCAGCAACGCCGCGUGCGGGAUGACGGCCUUCGGGUUGUAAACCGCUUUCGCCUGUUACGAAGCGUGAGUGACGGUAAUGGGUAAAGAAGCACCGGCUAACUACGUG